CAUCUUCCAUUUCUAAUUGUCUACCGGAUCUGAAUGCACAAGAAGCGCCUCCAUCUCCAAAGUCGAAACUGAGCUCAUUCUCCUCUGCCAUAGCUGUGAGGCCGAGACACCAAACGGGCUCCGAUCGAGACGCCGCCCAGGAUCGAGACACCGAUCCUUCUCUUUCUCUCUUUACUGCACCUGCACGACGCGGCCGACGCCUCCUUCUUUCUCCCUCAUAGAUCGACGCACCGAGUGAGAAGGCGCCCAGCUAUGUUCCUCUCUCUCUCUCUUCACUUCACCUGCACGACGCCUCCUCUCUCCCUCACAGAUCGAGAUGCCGCCUAGGACUGCUCUGUCCUUCUCUCUUUCUCUCUUCACUUCAUCUGCCAACUCGAAGCCAGAGGAUAGGAGAUCGUUGUUCUUCAGAUUUUGAGUAAGAUUGCUUGCAAUCGGCUCCAGAAGGAGCUCGUGGAGUGGCAGGUCAAUCCUCCGGCCGACUUUAAACACAAAGUCACUGACAAUCUCCAAAGGUGGGUGACUGAAGUGAAUGGAGCACCUGGGACUCUCUAUUCGAAUGAGACCUGUCAGCUUCAGAGGUUGAUUUCCCUGAGCAUUACCCGAUGGAAGCACCACAGGUCUCUGCAAAUUCAUCACUUAUUGUCAUGUCUUAUGUCUAUUGUAUUUUUGUUUGUUUGUUCGGGUGAUUAUUAUUUGCAUAAAGUUGGUCAUGGUAACUGAUUAACAAUCUGCAAUCUUGUGGUGGGAUGAACAUGUUAUCUUUGUGCCUCCCGCUCCAAUGCUCAAUCAGGUAUGUGUAUGUUUCUACCCCAAUGUUGAAAAUUUGAGUUUUGUGUGUGUAUCUGUGGAUUCUUGAUGAGACUGAUUGUUAGUCUUGGUUUUGAGAACAAGCAUUGCAUUUAGUACUGCCAUACUCCUAGUUGAGUAAAGCUUUGGCUCUUGAAUGGUUCUUUGUUAUUGAAGUAGGUUCUCUGUGUAGUGCUAUUAAUGGUAAAGUUGCAGCUUGAAUGGUUCUUUGUUAUCUAAAUCUAUUUAUGAUGGCUAUUGUAGGGAAAACUGUGGAAGCCAAUUGAUGGAUGGCUGCAUUGCUGCUGGAUAGGAGACUGGAAAAAUGGCUUGCUAAAUUGCUGCAUCUGAAUUAGGACUUUAGGACUUUAUAUAUCAUUGGAUAUUUGUAUUUGAAUUUGGACACUUUGAAUUUGAAUUGUACCUUCAAUUGUUCUUGAUGAGUAUUUGAAUUUGUAUUUGAAUUUGGACACUUUGAAUUCGAAUUUGCAGCUUGAACUUUGUAUCUUGA